rnacentral:rRNA from 1 species
AAGGCGUACACAGCUGCCGAGGACAAGCUUCUUUGCGAGUGUUGGCGAGACAUUGAACAAGACCCAAAAACGGGCGCCGAGCAAAAGCAUUCGACCUUUUGGACUCGUGUGCACCGAGAGUUUCAUGAGCGCAAGAAGUUUCUACCUUACCAAUUUGUGAGCACGCGCGGGUGGGUCUCCAUUUCCAAGCGGUGGAGGGUGAUCCAACAAGAGUGCAACAAGUUUUGCGCCACCCUUGAGAGCGUCAAGGCCCGCCCCGUGAGCAGCAUCGGCAUGCAAGACAUGGUAUGA